CACUUGGAGUGUAGGGGGAGCAAAAGCCAGAAUCUCCACCCCCCCACCCCCAAGAAUGGUAAAGUCAUCAGCAGUUGGGGGAAAAAAUUCCUCAAGAAGAAAAACAGAAAGAGGAAAGUGCUGAGCUCUGAGUUCUGUCUCUCUCCAAAUUUCCCCAAAUGUUUCCCCUCAUGAGGGAGGGAGAGGACCCGUCUGGGCUCUGAAGUCUGGAACAGGAGCAGAGGCUGCCCAGGUAUAAAUGUACCAGGCCUUCCAGAGUUCACUCUGCCCAUCUACAGAAGCAGCUGAGGUGGGAGAGGACGGCAUGAGAGACAAGACCACCGUAUCAUUCCAGCCCCAAUCGGAGAGUCCCAGACAACAGCUCCAGGCUCUCAGCUGGGCCCUGUGGCCCGAGGGGGAAGGGAGCAUGGUGGGCAGGGAGGAACUGCCACCUGGAAGGGCUUGAUGGGAACCAGCUGGCUGGGGUGGGGCCUUGGGAGUGUGGGUUGCGGGGAGGGCGGGGCCGGAGGCCACAGUGGGCGGGCAACUGACAGCUCAGGGCUGGGAGUGGCUGCUGGAGGCCCCCACCUUCCCUGAGGCUGGAGUCCAGAUGCCUCCACAGCCGUCCAGGCUCUUCCAACCCGCUGACCUCAUUCCCAGCUCCCUCCCGUGCAGCCCCCCUCAAUUGUCUGCCACGUAGACUGGAGCCUCAGCAACAAUCUCCGUAGGGGUGGCUGCGAGAGGAGCCAGGCACACUUAGCCCAGGAAACCUGCUAAGCCGGAGGGAGCUAGGGAAGGUAGCUGUGACCACUCGGUGCCUCAGUUUCCCCUCCCCAAACACGAGUCCCAGUGAAUGGAGAAGAGCGAGGUGUGAAGCGGGUUACAGUUGCUAAACAAGACUCAAGGUGUUGGGGGACCCUAGAGGUCACCCCAACCAUCCCUCAGUGUCUUGGGUCUGGAGUGUAUUGCUCUCAAGAAGGGGCAGAGGUGCGUGCGCAGGCUGGGGGUGUGUGUGUGGGGUCCCUCCUUUGUCAAAGGAAGUUCCCAGAAAGUUUGAAAUCCUUUGUGAAAUCUAGGCCCCCCCCCCCCCCCCCGCCACCUCAGGCUGCAUUAGGCUACAAUUUGCCAUUUUAUAGCAGAGAUAUAGUGAGACGAAUGUAGUGUCCUCUCCCUAGGCACCUUAGGGACCUCACCGUGAGUCCCUGGACUGAGCUCUCUCUACCUCUGACCUCUGUUUCUCCCUUGCCUCCCUGUCUCAGAGUGAGUGUCCCAGUUGACCCUGACUGACCAGGAAGCCAUCCCCAUUCCUGCUGGCCCACAGAGUUCCAGGCUUGUGAGUCAUCGGGGAAUGUCUGUUCUGCCUGCAGCUCCCAAACUCUAAGCCAGGGACCCUCUUGUUUGACAGGAGUCCUGGAAGCAGAGAGGAAGUCUUGCUUAAAGGAAAUCCACAAGUGAGCCAGAGGGCUUGGCCUCUCCCAGAGACGGUCCCUGCCUAAUGGCCGGCUUCAUCCAAGGUGGGGGAGCGGCAGGCUGGGAGCGUGGAUGAAAGAAAAAGGAAGCCCAAUGUGGCAGGCAUUCCCUCUCUGCUGCCUGGCUGCUCUGUCCCCUCACAUCCACCUCCUGCCCUGUCACCCCAGACCUGCAGCGAUGGGACAGUUGAUCGUGGAAGGAAUCGGUGAGCCCAAGCAGAUCUUCCCUCCUUCAAACCUUUUCAGGGUACCCUCAUCACUUACCAGUUUCUCUGUGCCCUGUGGGAACAGGAGAAGUUGGAAGUGCAGCCACCUAUAAUCAGAAUGGACAUCUAUGCCUGAGUGGGGCCCAUUCCUUGUGGGGCGGGUCAGAGGGUCUAGGUCAGCCCCAGGAAAGAUCAGGGCCCCUGCGUGCUCACGUGUGCGCAAUGUACUGUAGUAUAUAUACAAGUAUACACGUGUAUAGGCGAGUGGGGGUGUCACCUGCCCAUAUAUGUGUAUGUGAAGGCCAGGGGUCAAUGUUGGUUGUCUUUCUCACUUGCUUGUCACUGGGGAGAUUGGCUGUCUAAUAAAAAGCACCCAGAAUCUU